CCGACCUUAGCUCAGUUGGAAGAGCGCAAGACUGUAAUGGAUACCCCACCGGCAUCUUGAUGUCGCCUGUUCGAGCCAGGCAGGUCGGA
rnacentral:tRNA from 1 species